UACGUAGGGUGCAAGCGUUGUUCGGAAUCACUGGGCGUAAAGGGUGCGUAGGCGGGUCUUUAAGUCGGUGGUGAAAUCCUGGAGCUCAACUCCAGAACUGCCUUCGAUACUGAGAGUCUUGAGUCCGGGAGAGGUGAGUGGAACUGCGAGUGUAGAGGUGAAAUUCGUAGAUAUUCGCAAGAACACCAGUGGCGAAGGCGGCUCACUGGCCCGGUACUGACGCUGAGGUGCGAAAGGCGUGGGGAGCAAACAGG
rnacentral:rRNA from 1 species